rnacentral:rRNA from 1 species
ACGCUCGACACCUACGGUAGGCAGCAGUGGGGAAUAUUGCACAAUGGGGGAAACCCUGAUGCAGCGACGCCGCGUGGAGGAAGAAGGUCUUCGGAUUGUAAACUCCUGUUGUUGGGGAAAAAGAGGAUGGUACCCAACAAGGAAGUGACGGCUAACUACGUGCCAGCAGCAGCGGUAAUCUGAGCGGGCUGGCAAGGC